GAUCCAUAUCAUUGGACUAAAUGUAUAUGAAGGGGAUGAAAUUGCAGAGAUCACAAGUGACGUCGAUGAUGCUUUCUUUAGCUAGAGUGCACGAGUUGACAAAUUUUUGGUUAACGGAAAUUGCUUUGUGCGGGCAAGAAGAUAUUUAUUUGAUAUCGUUCUUUUCUAUUUAACUCUUAAAGUCGCUUCAUUAGUCAAUUCACUAUUGUCAUAUGUAUUCUUUUGUCAUUAUCUACUUGUGACUAGUAUUAGACUUCUUUUCGUAUUUUGAGAUGAAUUUAGUAUUAUUAUAUUUUGAAUAGAAUGUUGAUGAUUAUUAUGA